rnacentral:rRNA from 1 species
GGGUUGUGAGGUUAAGCGACUAAGCGUACACGGUGGAUGCCCUGGCAGUCAGAGGCGAUGAAGGACGUGCUAAUCUGCGAAAAGCGUCGGUAAGGUGAUAUGAACCGUUAUAACCGGCGAUGUCCGAAUGGGGAAACCCAGUGCAAUUCGUUGCACUAUCGUUAACUGAAUACAUAGGUUAACGAGGCGAACCGGGGGAACUGAAACAUCUAAGUACCCCGAGGAAAAGAAAUCAACCGAGAUUCCCCCAGUAGCGGCGAGCGAACGGGGAGCAGCCCAGAGUCUGAAUCAGCUUGUGUGUUAGUGGAACGGUCUGGAAAGUCCGACGGUACAGGGUGAUAGUCCCGUACACCAAAAUGCACAGGUUGUGAACUCGAAGAGUAGGGCGGGACACGUGGUAUCCUGUCUGAAUAUGGGGGGACCAUCCUCCAAGGCUAAAUACUCCUGACUGACCGAUAGUGAACCAGUACCGUGAGGGAAAGGCGAAAAGAACCCCGGCGAGGGGAGUGAAAAAGAACCUGAAACCGUGUACGUACAAGCAGUGGGAGCACCUUCGGGUGUGACUGCGUACCUUUUGUAUAAUGGGUCAGCGACUUAUAUUCUGUAGCAAGGUUAACCGUAUAGGGAGCCGCAGGAAACCGAGUCUUAACUGGGCGUUAAGUUGCAGGGUAUAGACCCGAAACCCGGUGAUCUAGCCAUGGGCAGGUUGAAGGUUGGGUAACACUAACUGGAGGACCGAACCGACUAAUGUUGAAAAAUUAGCGGAUGACUUGUGGCUGGGGGUGAAAGGCCAAUCAAACCGGGAGAUAGCUGGUUCUCCCCGAAAGCUAUUUAGGUAGCGCCUCGUGAACUCAUCUUCGGGGGUAGAGCACUGUUUCGGCUAGGGGGUCAUCCCGACUUACCAACCCGAUGCAAACUACGAAUACCGAAGAAUGUUAUCACGGGAGACACACGGCGGGUGCUAACGUCCGUCGUGAAGAGGGAAACAACCCAGACCGCCAGCUAAGGUCCCAAAGUCAUGGUUAAGUGGGAAACGAUGUGGGAAGGCACAGACAGCCAGGAUGUUGGCUUAGAAGCAGCCAUCAUUUAAAGAAAGCGUAAUAGCUCACUGGUCGAGUCGGCCUGCGCGGAAGAUGUAACGGGGCUAAACCAUGCACCGAAGCUGCGGCAGCGACACUAUGUGUUGUUGGGUAGGGGAGCGUUCUGUAAGCCUGCGAAGGUGACCUGUGAGGGUUGCUGGAGGUAUCAGAAGUGCGAAUGCUGACAUAAGUAACGAUAAAGCGGGUGAAAAGCCCGCUCGCCGGAAGACCAAGGGUUCCUGUCCAACGUUAAUCGGGGCAGGGUGAGUCGACCCCUAAGGCGAGGCCGAAAGGCGUAGUCGAUGGGAAACAGGUUAAUAUUCCUGUACUUGGUGUUACUGCGAAGGGGGGACGGAGAAGGCUAUGUUAGCCGGGCGACGGUUGUCCCGGUUUAAGCAUGUAGGCUGGUUGUCCAGGCAAAUCCGGAUAAUCAAGGCUGAGGUGUGAUGACGAGGCACUACGGUGCUGAAGUAACAAAUGCCCUGCUUCCAGGAAAAGCCUCUAAGCAUCAGGUAACAUUAAAUCGUACCCCAAACCGACACAGGUGGUCAGGUAGAGAAUACCAAGGCGCUUGAGAGAACUCGGGUGAAGGAACUAGGCAAAAUGGUGCCGUAACUUCGGGAGAAGGCACGCUGGUGUGUAGGUGAAGCCCCUGCGGGUGGAGCUGAGACCAGUCGAAGAUACCAGCUGGCUGCAACUGUUUAUUAAAACACAGCACUGUGCAAACACGAAAGUGGACGUAUACGGUGUGACGCCUGCCCGGUGCCGGAAGGUUAAUUGAUGGGGUUAUCCGUAAGGAGAAGCUCUUGAUCGAAGCCCCGGUAAACGGCGGCCGUAACUAUAACGGUCCUAAGGUAGCGAAAUUCCUUGUCGGGUAAGUUCCGACCUGCACGAAUGGCGUAAUGAUGGCCAGGCUGUCUCCACCCGAGACUCAGUGAAAUUGAACUCGCUGUGAAGAUGCAGUGUACCCGCGGCAAGACGGAAAGACCCCGUGAACCUUUACUAUAGCUUGACACUGAACAUUGAGCCUUGAUGUGUAGGAUAGGUGGGAGGCUUUGAAGCGUGGACGCCAGUCUGCGUGGAGCCAACCUUGAAAUACCACCCUUUAAUGUUUGAUGUUCUAACGUUGGCCCCUUACCGGGGUUGCGGACAGUGUCUGGUGGGUAGUUUGACUGGGGCGGUCUCCUCCUAAAGCGUAACGGAGGAGCACGAAGGUUAGCUAAUCCUGGUCGGACAUCAGGAGGUUAGUGCAAUGGCAUAAGCUAGCUUGACUGCGAGCGUGACGGCGCGAGCAGGUGCGAAAGCAGGUCAUAGUGAUCCGGUGGUUCUGAAUGGAAGGGCCAUCGCUCAACGGAUAAAAGGUACUCCGGGGAUAACAGGCUGAUACCGCCCAAGAGUUCAUAUCGACGGCGGUGUUUGGCACCUCGAUGUCGGCUCAUCACAUCCUGGGGCUGAAGUAGGUCCCAAGGGUAUGGCUGUUCGCCAUUUAAAGUGGUACGCGAGCUGGGUUUAGAACGUCGUGAGACAGUUCGGUCCCUAUCUGCCGUGGGCGCUGGAGAAUUGAGGGGGGCUGCUCCUAGUACGAGAGGACCGGAGUGGACGCAUCACUGGUGUUCGGGUUGUCAUGCCAAUGGCACUGCCCGGUAGCUAAAUGCGGAAGAGAUAAGUGCUGAAAGCAUCUAAGCACGAAACUUGCCCCGAGAUGAGUUCUCCCUGAGACUUUAAGUCUCCUGAAGGAACGUUGAAGACGACGACGUUGAUAGGCCGGGUGUGUAAGCGCAGCGAUGCGUUGAGCUAACCGGUACUAAUGAACCGUGAGGCUUAACCUUACAACGCCGAAG